UCGCCAAAUUGUAGGUGAGUAAAGUUAACAAGUUUGAUGUGAUUAUCUAAAAUAUAAUUGUCUGUUGUUUAAUUACAUGUGUGACGCGUUGCAUGUUUCAGAGUAAAAUACACCUCACUACACAGAUGUAAGUUGGAAUAUACAGCAUCAUUUCAUCGUCUAUAUGGUGGGACAACCUGCUAGAGAGGUUGAAGACAUCUGUAUCUACCUCAAAGAAGGCGUGGAGAGACACAUUAAAGAAUAUGUGAAUUGUGAAAUUGGUGAGUUGGGGAUUGCACAGACAGUGGAAGUUUUGCAAAACCUACUUGGUGUCACACAUGGGUGUGAAAUUACUUUUUGGACUCAUUUAUGCACUUAAACUGAACUACCAGAAGAACCUCAAGUGCACCUUUGACCUUUCAAAACAUCCUAAUGGAACUGGACUUGAUACAACCAAGCAAUCACUGAAAGAAGCUUCAGUGAAUACCUGACAGACACGCUGAUGCAUCCCCCUCAAAGUGGGUACAUUUUUGUACAUUUACAAGUGAACUUUUUAACAUUAAAGGAAUAUUGCACUUUCAUUAAACAAAAAUACUGAUAAUUUACUGUCUGUCAUCCAAGAUGCUUGUCUUUUUUUGUUCAG